GGACAAACAGGACAUUCACUUGAAUCACUACAUGCUACAGAAGUUGCAUCGAUUCCAGAAAACCAGGAAAAUGUUCAGCCAUCUGUAGACUUCAGAGCUGGUAUGUAAAAUGUAUUGCUGUGAUGCUUAAUUUGUGAUCCUGUAACUAAACUCUACACUUUGUUAGAUUUUCAAAUUUCUGUUCCCUCUUUCUCAGAACCCGGUUUCUCCCCAGUAAUCUAGACUCCACUUCACAGAGCCAAGAGUUUGAGUACAACUCGUCAAGUACUAAGCUUUACACCCCCAGCAGCAAAUUUACCCUGGCAGAAUGUAGGUGAAAACGCUGGAGUAUUGAAAAUAGUACAUUUCCAGAGACUCCAGAAUGAAAACCAAGCCCUGAGGGAGGAGAACCAAGCCCUGAGGGAAUGCAAUGCACAAGCAGCUUUGGAUGACAGCCGCUCACUUCAAGAGCAGGUGAAGCAAGUAGGGACAAUGUUGAAGACGUUUGCUCUAACUGGGCAAUCAGGUGCGUUACCUGAAAGGAGCAUCUGACCGUGAAGGCAGAAAAAGGCGCUGCACAGCUGAGAGGGACCCACAGCCGACCCCUUAAACCUAGGCUGACUACUGACACCCCAGCAUCACUGAACUGGAACACUUUCUUUAUACUGCAGUCAGUAACAUCAAUAAGCCAG
ensembl:lncRNA